AGAGGGAAAGUGCGAUCACUAAGAAGAGGACGAGGAUAUUGACAAGACACGAGAACCGGGAAUAAGUUAACAUAAAGUGAAAUUAAAAGCUUUACAUAUCGGGUGCGGAGUUGAAAGGCCGUAAAAGCGGUAACAACUCGGCUAUGAGAUACAAGGACAUAAUAAAGAGUUCGAAAUCUGAGUUUAAAGCUAUCCAAGACCGAAACAGCGUGUUAGCUGUGAAGGCCAUUAUGGACCGUCUGGAAUCAGCAAAACUGGAGGGGCUGAACCAGGGGGAAUCGGGGCUGAGUGAAAUCUCGCCUGGGGAGCCAACAUUUUCGAGCCCGGGAGAUGACGCUUGUGUUGGUAGUGAAAACAAACAUGAGCAAUAAAGGGACGACCAUAGUAUACCGGCAAAAGGCGACAAAGUAGUGGCGUCUGAAGAAUAUCUGGAAGUUUCUGGCGUGGCGGCUGCGGUCGUGCAGCGGCGUGAUCAAGUGGUGGCGUCUGAAGAAUUUUUGAAAGCUUCUGGCAUGGCGGCUGCGGACGUGCAGCGGCGUGAUCAAGUGGCGGAAAACGUUGAGGCAGAAAUCCAACAUUUGCAACAAAUCGAGAAGCUGUAUGUUGCGCGUAAAUGGGUGGCUGACUUAGAAAAUUCAUUGAGCCAAAAUGAAUCCGCUCGAGGAUAUGGCAUCGACAUGAAUGAUUUGGGUGCGUUAAUUCAACCUUUUUCGGGAGACAGCGGAUACCCUGUGAUGCGUUGGAUUGAUGACAUUGUUAAUAUCAUGGAUACAUACAGUGUAUCGGAGAAACAAUGAUUUAUUUUCGCCAUACCUUUGCUUAGGAGAUCUGCGAGGUCGUUCAUGAUUGAGACGGCAGCCCUAACUUGGCCAGCACUGCGAACCGAAUAGAUAGCUGUAUUCGACCUCAAGGUUAAGGUUAAAAACUGGUUAGAGAAAUUAUCAUCCGAUUCAUCAUGGAAGGCUUGGAAGAAAAUUCGGGAGCCGCGUUUGCAAUGGCUAACUGUAGUUCUUUGGACGACUUGCGGAAGAAAUUAUGAUCUACGAUAAAUCAAAGUAGACGCUUGGAAAGAUUUCAAAGUUGGAGAAGCAAACUAAACGGAAGUCCAAUUUCCAGUCGACCCGAAGGCAGGAUCCUGAAGCAUCUCGCUGCUACAACUGUCGGCAAAUGGGACAUUUUGAUAGAUUGUAGACAACCCAAAAUGCCGGAAGGGGUCUGCUUUAACUGCUACAGCACAAAGUAUCAGUAACGCCCCAAGCGGAAGACGAAAACUAUGGUGGCAGCCGUGCAGGAGAACGCGGGAUCUGGUUCGUAGGAGUUGGCAGCAAUUCAAGCAAUUGAAUUAUGACGAUUGCGAGGUGAAAAGGGAAAAUACAUACGCAUUGCCAGCACAGUGAAGUGCUUUGAUCAUUUUUGUUCAACAACGUACUAGAUCUUGUUAAAAAUAGUCGAUGAUAAUAUUCUGCCAUUACCUGUGUUAUUAGAUAGAGACUCGCUAAAGAUAAUCGAAGUUCAAUUAGUUCAUAAAAAAACAAGGAAGAACGCUAAAGUCGAGUAUCUCGA